GCGCACGCUGGCGGCAGGCUUAACACAUGCAAGUCGAGCGGGCAUAGCAAUAUGUCAGCGGCAGACGGGUGAGUAACGCGUGGGAACGUACCUUUUGGUUCGGAACAACUGAGGGAAACUUCAGCUAAUACCGGAUAAGCCCUUACGGGGAAAGAUUUAUCGCCGAAAGAUCGGCCCGCGUCUGAUUAGCUAGUUGGUGAGGUAAUGGCUCACCAAGGCGACGAUCAGUAGCUGGUCUGAGAGGAUGAUCAGCCACAUUGGGACUGAGACACGGCCCAAACUCCUACGGGAGGCAGCAGUGGGGAAUAUUGGACAAUGGGCGCAAGCCUGAUCCAGCCAUGCCGCGUGAGUGAUGAAGGCCCUAGGGUUGUAAAGCUCUUUUGUGCGGGAAGAUAAUGACGGUACCGCAAGAAUAAGCCCCGGCUAACUUCGUG
rnacentral:rRNA from 1 species